GGCCUCAUAGCUCAGUUGGCUAGAGCGCUGGCUGUAUUGAAGCCUUCCCCUUGCUGGCGUGGGUUAAAAUCCCACCAAAGCCG
rnacentral:tRNA from 1 species